GACAGAUGGCCAUGUGUUAAGUACAUCCCUCAUGCCCUGUAGAGAAGGUGGGACCUCUGGUCUGAUCUUUAAGGUUCGUCUCUUGCCCUCUAAGGAAUGGGAUACCAUAAGGCUGAGAUUUAUCCCUAGGGCUGUGAUUUUUAAAAUCCAUUUCCCCACACUUCAGAAUUUUAUUGCUUCAAAGAGGCUCAUGAAAUCCUUAGAAAAAUACUUGUCAAGGAGGUUAAGUUUGUUUUAUUUAAUAGGUUAGAAGAAAUUGGGGUAGCGCUUGAUACGGCAAGACAACAUCUGGAGGCUUUGGUGACUAGUGUGACGUGAGUCAGUGGGUGACCAUGUGUCUUGGUAAUACUGUGACUGGAGGAACAUGGGGUUGAGUUAGGGGGGAGCAGGGGCUCCUCUCCUGGGCCUGACAUGCUGUUGUUGAGCAUAUUGUAACUUAUCUUCACCACCUGUGGCCACCCCAGUGUCACAGAGGAGUGUCUUAACAUCUUCAUUACAUUGAGUUCCCAGGGCCAGUGUCAGGCAAUAGGAAGAUCAGAGGACAGGAAGAUGUGGGCUGGAGGGACAGCAAUCGGGCCCAGAGCAGCAGCGCUGAGUUGCCAUUGCUGGCUGGAGCUGGGGCUGCCUGGUGUGUUUAGCAGGGCA
ensembl:sense_intronic Gm17105 predicted gene 17105